rnacentral:rRNA from 1 species
UACGUAGGGUGCAAGCGUUGCCCGGAAUUAUUGGGCGUAAAGAGCUCGUAGGCGGUUUGUCGCGUCUGCUGUGAAACCCGAGGCUCAACCUCGGGCCUGCAGUGGGUACGGGCAGACUAGAGUGAUGUAGGGGAGACUGGAAUUCCUGGUGUAGCGGUGAAAUGCGCAGAUAUCAGGAAGAACACCCGUGGCGAAGGCGGCUCUCUGGGACGGUACUGACGCUGAGACGCGAAAGCGUGGGGAGCGAACAGG